UUUAAACUGACACCUGGUUUAUUUAUUUCUAGGCGAUAAUUAAAAUGAAACGCUGCGCCCCCGCCGCCGCCACCCCGCCACCCGCCUCCCUCCCCUCCGCCGCCGCCGCCGCCGCCGGCGCCCGCCGGGCGCGGGCAGGAUCCGGCCCCCGGGGGCCGCCCGGUGCCGGCCGCCCCUGCCCUGCCCCGCAGCGCCCGGGGGCUGCAGCCGGCCGGCCGGGCGGAGAAGUUUCCCGGGGGCCUCCCCCCCCCUCCACCUGCACCCCUGCGCCCUCGCCCCGCUCCCACCGGAGCCCCGCCGUCGUAGUGAUUGCUGUUCUUCUGCCACCUCCAUCCGCAAUGGCAACUUCACCUCCAAGUGCAGACAGCUUGGCCGUCUUCAAAGAAUUGGCCUGA
rnacentral:lncRNA from 1 species